rnacentral:rRNA from 1 species
AUUGAACGAUGGCGGCAGGCUGAACACCUGCAGGUCGCACGAGUGGAGGACGGGUGUGGAAUGUCUGGGGAAGUGCCUGAUGGAGGGGGGUAACUACUGGAAACAGUAGGUAAUAGCGCAUACCAUCGGAUCGACCCAGAUGGGAUUAGCUAGUAGGUGGGGUAAAGGCUCACCUAGGCGACGCGACCUAGCUGGUCUGAGAGGAUGACCAGCCACACUGGAACUGAGACACGGUCCAGACUCCUACGGGAGGCAGCAGUGGGGAAUAUUGCACAAUGGGCGCAAGCCGGAUGCAGCCAUGCCGCGUGUAUGAAGAAGGCCCUAGGGUUGUAAAGUACUUUCAGUCGGGAGGCGUUACCGACAGAAGAAGCACCGGCUAACGCCGUGCCAGCAGCCGCGGUAAUAC